UACAGAGGUCUCAAGCGUUGUUCGGAUUCAUUGGGCGUAAAGGGUGCGUAGGCGGCGCGGUAAGUCGGGUGUGAAAUCUCGGAGCUUAACUCCGAAACUGCAUUCGAUACUGCCGUGCUUGAGGACUGGAGAGGAGACUGGAAUUUACGGUGUAGCGGUGAAAUGCGUAGAUAUCAGGAGGAACACCGAUGGCGAAGGCAGGUCUCUGGGCCGCAACUGACGCUGAGGAGCGAAAGCAUGGGGAGCGAACAGG
rnacentral:rRNA from 1 species